rnacentral:rRNA from 1 species
UGAGGAACAUGACCUUCGGCGGGGGAUAGCCGGCCCAACGGCCGGGUAAUACCGCGUACGACCUUUCGGGGACAUCCUCGGAUGGUGAAAGCAGCAAUGCGCCGAUGGAGUGCCUCGCGGCCUAUCAGCUAGUUGGUGAGGUAACGGCUCACCAAGGCAACGACGGGUAGCUGGUCUGAGAGGAUGGCCAGCCACAUUGGGACUGAGACACGGCCCAGACUCCUACGGGAGCAG